ACACUCAUCUGGUGUCAGAAGAGUCGUUUUCAUUGCAAAGCACUGGCUGCAGAUGGCUGAAUGCUUAUUGGCGUUACCACCCACAAGCUUUCUCAGCUGGUCCAGGACAUCUAACUUCAUCCAGGGCAGAGAGCUGCCCGAGGAGACUGUUUCUCUGCAGAGCUGCCUCAGCAGGCCCAGGUCAUCGAACAAUGGAACCAUUAUCUACUGUCCACCCUUCAGGACAUGUAGAUUUUGUUUGUGAACAGCUGUGGCCGAAAAUAGGUCAUUCCUUCAUCUGCCCUCUCCCUGCUGCUGGACCUGAAUAAAUGGUGCAAAACACCCAA